rnacentral:lncRNA from 1 species
AGCCCAGCUGCACCCAGCACUACCCAGUCACAGGAGUCCUGCUGGCGAGCUGUGAGCCUGGAGUGAGGCCUCAGAGAGUGUAUGCGGAGACUGAGCCCUGAAGGCUGCUGUAUCCUCAGGCCUUUGGCAGCCCCUCUGCUUGGCUCCCUGUGCCAUCUGACCCAGGAGUCACGUGA